UGCACAUUUAUCGCUUAUAAACUAAAUUCGAAAGCUUUCGGUUACCAAACAAAAUAAAGGCACAACGCACUAAAGAUAGAUAGCAGAGAAAAUUCUGAUUGGCAAUUUUUCAUCUCAGUAACAAAGAGAUUCUCUCAGCGUAAUACUAGGUCAGCAGUUGACUUUUCUCUGUUGGCUAUUCUCAAUGGACCGAUGUGAGACGUCAACUCGGCUCGAUUUACGCUGACUACAGCGACAAACUCAGCCUCAGGUGCCUCGACGACGUAUCGUUUUUGUUCUUUCUUAGGAUUGCAUGCCGACCAAUAGUAUAACGAUUGACUCAAGGCUGCACUUUAUAGCUUUGUUCAAUGCUGUCUAGAACGUGGACAUGUUACUGUAUAGUAAUACUGUAUGGGUGGCCCGGCCAAAGUGAUAACCUGAACUACGGAUUUUGGUAGAGAUCAAAAACCUUGGAUAUUGGUGUGCGCAUUUGUUUCUACUUAACAAAUGCGGGAAGCUUUGCAUGGUGAAUUCUCUAUGAAAAUUUAUUUGUUAUGAAGCAUAUAGCAAAGCUCGUUCUCCAGAUGGGUCAACGUUUCGUGACAAACGUGACGUUUUUAGCUGACCACAGCAGCUUCGAGAUUACAUCAUCCAGCUUUUAGGCGAAUAGGUUUCUCAUACAAUCAGGCCUGCUGAGAUUGGCUACUGAAACUUUCGUAGUGCUGCUGUAGGCUUGCUGCAGGUAAAUGUGAGAGCCUUCAUAUUCAGACCGUAUAUGUCGCUGCAGCAUCCUACAAGAAUCUGCUUUACCACGCCUAACUUUUUCGACCUCAUUUACUCAGGUUUUACAUAUGCACAGCAUUAUGCGAGUGGAACCCGUAUCACCAAAAAUAGGGAGUUGUUACCAUAAAAAGCUACACACGGGGAAGAGCUUCCGAUUUUUCUCAACAACAGACCAAUCCAGGUGAAUCAACUGGUAACUUCACCAGUACAGUGAAGCUGUGUCUGAACGUAAGUUGUAAAUCUGGUAAAGAGCUAAUAUAACGGAUCCUACCCGCCACAAUUAUGCCAAUACGCUGACAGAGCGCUUCGCACUCUUCUAUCGAGCGAGAAGUCAGCAUGCACGCGUGAGGUGAACCUACUCCGCGUUGAAAAGCUGUUAGCGCAUUGCCAAACCUUUCGACACGCUGUAGUGUCGAUGCUCGCCGUUGGCUCAAGGAAGAGAAGCGGCGGAUUACAGACAAUUGUUAAACCGCUGCACAGUUUCUAUUUCGUUCGACCACUGAAGUUAUGCAUCAACGUAUCAGCAUGGUCUGACAGAUCGGUGGUAUGUACAGUCAGAUCACAACACUUAUUUUGCGCGAUGUUUUCUCUUUGUUGCUUGAUUAGACGCCCUCGUCAAUGUUAUUGUUGUUGCCCAACGGUGUUUAAUUAACUAUUAAUUUUUUAGUAGUCGUCGACAAAAAAUAUUAAAAACGUUCUUGGUAUCUGGCUCUUGUUUAUACCCAAUAUACUCAUAUAACAAUAUCUUAUCUGGUGUUUCUUUUUACCAAUAAGCUUUGCUUGAUCAAAUUCAAAAUGCUCGUACGUUGCUCAUUAGGGCGGGCAAGAUCAAUUUUCUUUACAGACAAAAAAGAUUGCCAUUCAUCGGGGGCAAGAAGGUGAAAGCAUCUUCGCCUCACUGUAUAUAAUUUGCUUCCGUUAUUCCUUUUCUUAGCUAGAGGCUCUAACUAGAAUUUUGGCUGAUAUUGCUGUCUAUCUGCCUGUCCCUGUCUGCUUUGCUUCAUAUCGAAUUUGACCAGGUCAUGAGUAGAACAGCCCCAGAGGGUAUAGGUCUUGCAAGAUAUCCACCAGUGGCUGCCCUUCCUUCCAAGUACGUCGAGCUCACGAAAACGGCCCUAAGAUCGUACUCAUCCAAAUCUUGCCGCCACGGUGACCUUACCCAUGGAAGUAAUUCGCCUGGCUUGAUAAAGUUCUUCCUUGUCCCAAAUAAAUAUUCGUCUGUAGGAAGUAGGCAUCAAUUGAUCAAUUGCAGUAAUUAGCUCGCGCUCGGUAUGCGCGUUUUGAAUGUAUUCAGAUGUAACAGAACAAAACCGUAUAAUACGCAUAGAUACAGUUCUUAAUAAUAAAACCUACUUAAAUGUCUACUAGCUGAACUUGCUUAUGAAUAUCGGUCGACGUAGCUUGCAGCAUGCGAUAUCGGUUCCAGUACACAGUGGCCACUUUCGGAAACCUAACAGAAUUGUAAUGUGGGAAUACUUUGGAUUGGAGUUGGAAUAAUAGAAUCGAAGGUCGAACAAGUUUCAGUGGUGUUUAGCAGCUUCUAAAUCACGCUUGUCUCUGACCUAAAUUGAAGGUAUUGUUCUAUUAAUCUGUAUCGAAAGACUCACGUCGCGUAGGACAGCGGCCAGCAAUGGUCAAUAAUAAACUCUGGGCUAAUCUCCUCAGCGGUGAAGGGACUUAAGAUGCAACGAUUUUGAGAAAUCUUUAUGUGUAACAAUGGCUAUGCAAGCAGAACACGAGACCAACGCGUUUAAACCUAUACACAUACCCGGAUUAUAUCUUGCUUUGUAGAUAGACCUAAAAGCACCGGCUCCAAGAAGCCUUUCCAGGGUGAAAUCGCUAAUAAGAGAGAGACACUGAAUGGCUAGUUCAGGUCGAUUCUCGAACGAGGCUACAGCACUACGCUCUGAACGCUAAUCAGCCACCCAGAAGUAUAUCGUAGUUUCGUUUGCGUACUCUGUUGAAAAGAGUAAACUGCACGAAAGCGAUCUUUUAUGAGAAAGAAUCCAAGAUUAUUUACGUUGAAACAUCUCCAGUCCACUAACGACUUGACGAUUUUGUUUUUCUUUUGCCGCAGUGUAAGAAACGGCUCUUCUGCCGUCGCUCACAAUGACUACUGCAACUCAAACCACUUCGUCGCUCUUCUUACCGGCACAGAGGCGCCACAUCACCACGAGGCAUCCGACAGUAAAUCCUUCUGCUUUUCCUAAUUUUUUUUUGUAUAUAUAAUUGUACCCCAUUCUUCUGCGUUCUCAAUGUUUCUCUGUAGUAAUACUGAUUUCGGCUGAACCUGUGGGAAAAAUGUGUACUAAAGACGAGGUUGCACCCAAGAAGCCUAAGUUUAACGACAUGGUCUCUGUGCGCAGUUAUCACGAACACACAUGUUCCGAACUGAUACUUUAGUUCUUAUAAAUUCAGAUAUAUAUUUUAUUAUAGUAAAAUAAUUACGCAGUGAAUCGAUAAGAACUAGGGUAUCGCCGUAUGAGUCUGGAGUCGAACGUCCUUCUUGAAAGUGCGACGUGAUGUUCACGCCAGCACCGCCGGAGUAACUGAGCCCGAAGCUAAAUGCGUUAAAAGGUAUUUAUGCCCAAAAUUAUAUUCAUUCCAUUCAAUGAAAACUUAGAAUGAGAACUUAGACAUCACGAACACGUAUGCCGAUUACGCAAGAAAAAGAAACACCCAGGAAAACGAAAAUAGACACCUAUUCGUUUAAUAUUUGAACUGCUGGUUUCAUAUAUGUUUCUUACAACAAAACCUCGCUUUAUUUUAUAUAUACAUGUAUAUAUUUUGUUUGUAUAUGUAUAUGGGCAACACUUACCCUAA